rnacentral:rRNA from 1 species
UUAGGAAUCUUGCGCAAUGGGCGAAACUGACGCAGCGAUGCCGCGUGCGGGAUGAAGGCCCUCGGGUCGUAAACCGCUUUCAGCAGGGACGAUAAUGACGGUACCUGCAGAAGAAGCCCCGGCCAACUACGUGCCAGCAGCCGCGGUAAUACGUAGGGGGCGAGCGUUGUCCGGAUUUAUUGGGCGUAAAGAGCUCGUAGGCGGUUUGGUAAGUCGGGUGUGAAAUCUCCACGCUCAACGUGGAGGGGCCACUCGAUACUGCCAUGACUCGAGUCCGGUAGAGGAGUGUGGAAUUCCCGGUGUAGCGGUGAAAUGCGCAGAUAUCGGGAGGAACACCCGUAGCGAAGGCGGCACUCUGGGCCGGAACUGACGCUGAGGAGCGAAAGCGUGGGGAGCAAACA